rfam:Rattus norvegicus chromosome 17, whole genome shotgun sequence.
GGGAAAUGGAGAGAGGGGCCAGCCCAAGGCCCUGAAACAAGCUUGUGGGGCA